GUGUGGUAGGGGCAGAGGGAAUUCCCGGUGUAGCGGUGAAAUGCGUAGAUAUCGGGAAGAACACCAGUGGCGAAGGCGCUCUGCUGGGCCAUAACUGACGCUCAUGGACGAAAGCCAGGGAGCGAAAGGGAUUAGAUACCCCUGUAGUCCUGGCCGUAAACGAUGAACACUAGGUGUCGGGGGAAUCGACCCCCUCGGUGUCGUAGCCAACGCGUUAAGUGUUCCGCCUGGGGAGUACGCACGCAAGUGUGAAACUCAAAGGAAUUGACGGGGGCCCGCACAAGCGGUGGAGUAUGUGGUUUAAUUCGAUGCAACGCGAAGAACCUUACCAGGGUUUGACAUCCUGCGAACCCCUGAGAAAUCAGGGGGUGCCUUCGGGAACGCAGUGACAGGUGGUGCAUGGCUGUCGUCAGCUCGUGUCAUGAGAUGUUGGGUUAAGUCCCGCAACGAGCGCAACCCACGUCUUUAGUUGCCAGCAUUCAGUUGGGCACUCUAGAGAGACCGCCGGUGAUAAACCGGAGGAAGGUGUGGAUGACGUCAAGUCAUCAUGCCCCUUACAUCCUGGGCUACACACGUACUACAAUGCUACGGACAAAGAGCAGCGAUCCCGCGAGGGCUAGCAAAUCUCAUAAACCGUGGCUCAGUUCAGAUCGUACGCUGCAACUCGCCUACGUGAAGGAGGAAUCGCUAGUAAUCUCAGGUCAGCAUACUGCGGUGAAUACGUUCCCGGGCCUUGUACACACCGCCCGUCACACCAUGGAAGUUGGCCACGCCCGAAGCCGUUACUCCAACCCUUGUGGAGGAGGACGUCGAAGGUGGGGCUGAUGAUUGGGGUGAAGUCGUAACAAGGUAGCCGUACCGGAAGGUACGGCUGGAUCACCUCCUAA
rnacentral:rRNA from 1 species